UUGUUUUCUGACCUCCACACUUACUUAGGCCAUGGCACACUGGUACAGGUGUACUCGUGCCACAGCCCACAUGUGAAGGUCAGAGGGCAACCUUCAAGUGCACCCUCACCUUUCUCCCUUAGCUGAAGCAGGGUCUCCUGGCAGCUUCACAAGCCUGGCUGGACGGCUGGCUGGGAGUUCCUGGAGGUUUCUGUCUCCACCUUCCAUCUCCGAGUAGCUGUGCCCUGGAAUUGCUAACACCGUGCUGUGGCCUCCCAUCUGUAUGUGUGUUCUGGGUCAUCAGGCUUUGCUCAGCAAGUGCUUUUGCCCAUUCAGUCCGCCCCUCCCCUCCCAGUACCAGCCCCUGAAGGAAAAUAGUCUCACUUCACUAACGCUACCCCUCUCCCAAGACAGUGCAGGAUCAAUCCAAGGGAAGCCCCACUAGGAAAACAUGUCAUGUGUGAGUGCCCAUCUCCCAUACUGGAUGCUGUCCGAGAAGGUCGCUGCUUCUCCCCUACACCUGGAUUACUGGUAUCAGCAGGGGCAAAGAGGAUGGGGGGAAAAAGCGGCUCAUUGGAAACCCUCAGAUAAAGCACAGCUAUUAGUUGAUUUGAUCAGCCCUGCUACAGUUACUAUAGAAACCUGAACCCUUUCAGAUGCCCUUAAGCCACAAAACAGAAAUUUGAUGUGACCCCAGUGUGGAUGCUACUUCUUUGGCCCCUAAAUAGCUACUUAAUUGCUUUAUGAACUGAAUGAUUUUAAGGGGGUUAAAAAAAUAAAUCUAUUAAAAGGGCA